UUUCUUGGAAGCAUAUUUAGACUAUCAAAGGCUGGAAACUAAUAUUUAAAUAUCACAACUACACAGCAGUUUCAACAAAAGGCACAAUGCAAUUGUUGUACAAUUCAUGUUCUCAAGUCAGUUUUCUGACACAAAAUGGUUUCUUGACUACGAUUUGGAGUCAAUGACUAAAAACUGCAAUUAAACACUUUAAAAAAGGUAGGAAAAGAAUAGCUUCCUUAACCUUCGACUCCAUGUAUAAAACGAGGUUAUAACCAACAUAAACUCUUUAAAAGGAGACGGCAUUUGAAGUCAGGGUCGAUUUAGUUAUUUUCCAAAACGGAAGGCAAACGUCGCUCCAAGAAUACUAAAAUGGUUUAAAUGAAAUUGAAUAUUGGGAUUUUUCACAAUAAAGUAAAGGAAGAAGUGACCUUGACUAAGAUUUCCCUAAGGGAUACCCUCAAGCCAAUGGGUAGUAAGACCAUAAUGAUCCUUCUAUGACCUCACAGAACAUCCAGUCUACUUCAAGCUGGGUCUCUUCUUUAUCUUCAAGCCCAGUUCAAUGCUGGAACAGCAGACAGACCCCUCAAG
rnacentral:lncRNA from 1 species